rnacentral:RNase_P_RNA from 1 species
GCCGCAGUUUCGGCAUUCGUCCCCGGUGAAAAUCGGGGGAGGAAAGUCCGGACAGCACAGGGCACCGCGCCACCUAACAGAUGGAUUCCGAACUCGUUUCGGGAGAGAUAGUGCCACAGAAAAUAACCGUCACGGUUUCGAUCGGGACAAGGGUGAAAACGUAAGGUAAGAGCUUACGAAUGGUUGCAGCAAUGCAAUCAUUGGGUAAACCUCGCGGGCUGCAAGGUCAAAUACACUUCGGGGAAAAGCUGCAAAGCUUUCCGUACGGCGGCUCGCUGUACCAACCUGUUCAUCGGGUUCACCGGAGGUGGGUAGACCGCUACAUCUCAGCAGCGAUGCGGGGAGCAGAUAAAUGAAUGCCUGAUCUUUCGACUUGUCGGGGGAAAAACAGAAUCCGGCUUAUGAAACUGCGGCCAUA